rnacentral:rRNA from 1 species
AUUGAACGCUGGCGGCAGGCCUAACACAUGCAAGUCGAGCGGAGCGGCUGACGGGUGAGUAAUGCCCAGGAAUCUGCCUGGUAGUGGGGGAUAACGUCAGGAAACGGGCGCUAAUACCGCACACUAUCAGAUUAGCCUAGGUCGGAUUAGCUAGUGGUUGGGGUAAUGGCCUACCAAGUCGACGAUCCGUAACUGGUCUGAGAGGUUGAUCAGUCACACUGGAACUGAGACAGGGUCCGACCUCCUACGGGAGGGAGAAGUGGGAAAUAUUGGACAAUGGGCGAAAGCCUGAUCCAGCCAUGCGGGGUAUGUGAAGAAGGUCUUCGGAUUGUAAAGCACUUUAAGUUGGGAGACGUUACCAACAGAAUAAGCACCGGCUAACUUCGUGCCAGCAGCCGCGGUAAUUC